ACGAUGCAUACAAAUGUACUUGUCUCUGUGGGCUGCCCCAAGAUUUAUGACUCUUUUGCCUUCUGUAGCUGUAAACAAGGGAGGGAAAAAAAAAAAAAACCAGUCCAUGCACCGCUUGCUACCUGAAGGAGCCUUAAAAAAAAAAGAGGAGGGCGACAGCGGGCGCAAAACUUGAAUUUUUCCCUUUUUUCCCUCUCUUUAUUUCAGGCUGAAAAUGGCAUUUUUCGCAGCCGGGGUGCGGAGCGCGGCGCGGCGAAUUUCCACCUGGGAUUUGCAGAGAUUUAUAUUUUUUUUGCGGGGCAAGGAGGGAGCGGCGGCUGGUUCCUCCUCCAGGCGUUCCCGCUGCCCCCGGAAGAGAUCGCAGCUUAAAAAAAAAAAAUAAAAGAAGAAGAAGAAAAGGGGGAAAAAAAUCCGAAAUGCAGGAAAAAAAAAUAAACCAAAAAAAAGAGCAAUUUCGGGAAAAAAAAUCUUCGCUUUUCCGCGUUUUCCCUCCGGAGCCGCCGCCGCCGCCUUCGCAGCCGCCGGAACGGGACGAAGAUGCUGGAGUUUGGGUGGAAAUUUGAAAGAUUUGGGAAGAGUUGGUUAAGCUAAAAUUGUAUUUCUUGAGCGCUGCGGGCUGGAAAUGAAGUUAGAUUUCUUGGCAGAGCUGCGGUUUUCGGGGCUUCGUGGUAGUUUUCAGUAGCGGGACUCACUGCGGAUGUGUUCCCUUUUAUAAUAUAUAUUUUUAUGUAUUAGAAUUUUUUUAUAUUAGAAUUUUUACAUUGUAUUUUUAAUAUAUUAUAUAAAAUUUAUAUAUUAUAGAUAAAAUAUAUACACACGCGGGGCUUUGCACACAUAUAUAACACCAGAAAGCUGCUUGCAUUGCACCGAGAGGGGGGGAAAAAAAAAAGAAAACCAGACAAAAACUCACCAAAAUACUCCAAGGAGAGGCGGGAACUCACAUUUUUUACUCGUUUUGGAACCCGGGCUUUUCAGCAAACCUCAAGAAACCCUUUGCUCGCCUCCCCCUCUUCGUGACUUAGAUAUAUUUUUGAAAAAAGGCGGCGGGGAGCGCGGGCCGGCCAGCGCGGAGCCGCUCCAGCCUCUCCUCCCGCCCGCCUUCCCGACUUAUUUUAAUAUCCUUUUAAACCCCAAAUGGGUUAUUUUGGGGGUGUGCAGAACACGCCUCCUCCUCGUUCACAUGUUGCCAAUUUAAUCUGCUCUUUGAAACCACUUUUCUUUUAUUAUUUAGGGGAGGGAGAAGGGUUUU